UUUGCCAAGAGUGAAGAUCGCACAGAGUGCAUUGAGUCAGAAGUCUUCAUGCCUUCCUUGUUAAGCUUUGCAGUAAAUAAAUAUAUAACAUGCAUUUAUAGACGGCUAAGAUCCUAUUCUUGGGAAUUCCUUGAAUAGUGAUUGAAGUAGAUUUUGUCAUAGGCUCAGGUUGGUUGUUUUUAAAGGAUGAUGGAUCAGAGCUGGAGCCUGUGGAUUGGAGUUCUGGUGCUGUUCUCUCUGGAUUUCUGGGUAUCUACAGAUGAUCUUGGAUCUCCAAACCAGUCCUGGAGGAACAGUGAUGUCCAAGUCGAAAGCAACAACAAUCAAGAGCAGCAGAUUUUGAGAAACAAAGGCAGAGUCUGCCACAGUGGUGCCGAAACCCGGGACAGGAGGAAGACGCAACAUCAGAAAAGCCCUCGCCGCUAGUGUUGGGUCGCCACGCCGAAGAGGUAUAAUAUGGUGGUACUGGAGUGGUUCGCCCGAGAUGAAGGAGCCGCUGCCUUCCGCCAGGGGGUGGGGGAAGCUCACUGCCGUCCGCCAGGAAGUGGAAGAGCCGCUGCCGGUCACUAGAGGGCGGAGGAGCUGCUACUAUCCACCAGGGGGUGGAGAAGCCAUUCACCGUGAGUUGGAGGAGCCGCUGACAUCUGCUGGGAGGCGGAGGAGCUCGCUACCAUCUGCCAGGAGGGUCCAAAGAGGCGUGGAAGACCUGCCAGCAGAAGGAUGGCCAGAAGGGCAACACCUCCCCUCCAGGAAGGGGUGUUGGAGGAGUGUGACGAGGAGGAGGGCGUGGCCGAGCCAUGAGGAUGCUCGCCCAGCGCUGAAUCGUACUAAUCAGCCGGGAGGGGGAUAAGGACGAGCCGGAGAAGCCAGUUGGAGAGAGAGACGCACGUGUCUGUGUGUGUGCAUCUAUGUUUCGUUGUAAUGUGUAAAUUUGAGUUUUAAAUUA